ACGCUCGACACCUACGGGAGGCAGCAGUGGGGAAUAUUGGGCAAUGGGCGCAAGCCUGACCCAGCAACGCCGCGUGAAGGAAGAAGGCCCUCGGGUUGUAAACUUCUUUUGUCAGGGACGAAGCAAGUGACGGUACCUGACGAAUAAGCCACGGCUAACUACGUGGCAGCAGCCGCGGUAAUCUGAGCGGGCUGGCAAGGC
rnacentral:rRNA from 1 species